rnacentral:rRNA from 1 species
AGCGAACGCUGGCGGCAGGCCUAACACAUGCAAGUCGAACGAACCCUUCGGGGUUAGUGGCGGACGGGUGAGUAACACGUGGGAACGUGCCUUUAGGUUCGGAAUAACUCAGGGAAACUUGUGCUAAUACCGAACGUGCCCUUCGGGGGAAAGAUUUAUCGCCUUUAGAGCGGCCCGCGUCUGAUUAGCUAGUUGGUGAGGUAAAGGCUCACCAAGGCUACGAUCAGUAGCUGGUCUGAGAGGAUGACCAGCCACGUUGGGACUGAGACACGGCCCAAACUCCUACGGGAGGCAGCAGUAGGGAAUCUUGCGCAAUGGGCGAAAGCCUGACGCAGCCAUGCCGCGUGGAUGAUGAAGGUCUUAGGAUUGUAAAAUCCUUUCACCGGUGAAGAUAAUGACUGUAGCCGGAGAAGAAGCCCCGGCUAACUUCGUGCCAGCCGCCGCUGUAACAC